rnacentral:RNase_P_RNA from 1 species
GAAGCUGACCAGACAGUCGCCGCUUCGUCGUCGUCCUUUCGGGGAGACGGGCGGAGGGGAGGAAAGUCCGGGCUCCAUAGGGCAGGGUGCCAGGUAACGCCUGGGGGGGAAACCCACGACCAGUGCAACAGAGAGCAAACCGCCGAUGGCCCACGUAAGUGGGAUCAGGUAAGGGUGAAAGGGUGCGGUAAGAGCGCACCGCGCGGCUGGUAACAGUCCGUGGCACGGUAAACUCCAUCCGGAGCAAGGCCAAAUAGGGGUUCAUAAGGUACGGCCCGUACUGAACCCGGGUAGGCUGCUUGAGCCAGUGAGCGAUUGCUGGCCUAGAUGAAUGACUGUCCACGACAGAACCCGGCUUAUCGGUCAGUUUCACCU